AACUUUUGAGGAUUUCCACUGAAACUUAAACUGUAGCCUCAAACAGAAAAUCCCCGCGAAAAAGCAAACAUAGAAUAUAUACGAUUAUAAAUAUUAUUGUCGAAACAUAAUUUAAGAAAAUGAAUUAACACAUUAAAGGCCAACUUACUAUCAUUUCUUCAUUAAUAGCGGUUUAUAUAUUAGCAACAAGCUAGCGGUAGCCUCAACUGUCUGGAUUCACAGAACGUAAAGAUGUGCCGAGUGCGACUGAAACUUUCGCCUGACAGAAAAUCCCCGCGAGAAAAAAAACCCCAUAGAAUAAAUAGUCUUUUCGAAACAGAAUUUAAAAAAUGGUCUUAAUUUAAAGGAGUGUUACUUUUUUUUUUUUUAAUGAAGUGAGACUUCCAAAGAAGUGGUCGGACAUUUCAGGAGGCGCGCCGCGGACACCCCGACUCUCCCCCCGCCUUUCAGCAAAGUCAACUUGAGCGUGUCUGUUUGCUCAGCGGCUCAGGCACAGUUCACCCCGCUGAAGAUAAACACCACGGAGCGGCACGUCCCCUACUCCUUACGCCGGGAUUACCUCCCGGAUGCGGACGUCACCUCACGCCGUGUUCCCAUCACACACACAGAAAGCUGAUAGCGGAGCCGUCACCAGAUCUACAGUAAACAUGUUUACGCCUUGAUUUAUCCCCCGAAAGCUGCCAGCAAUCUAUUUCAGGGCGCAGCACAACAUCCUGCAUGCAUUUCCAUAAAUCCAGAUGAGCUUCCUGUCCACUGAGGCGCAGGAAACAUUCUCUGGGCGGACAAAGUCAUUCAUUAAUUAUCAGGCGGGACGCGGCGUACUGGCCGGCCUCCGUGUUAAUUAGCAGGACCUUUGGACCCAUUAAGGCCCGUGGGAAGCCGCCAUUAUGCUUCCUAUCGGGCCAAGAGGUUAUUCAAAGCAAACGUUCAGCCGUCAAUCAGUGUGCUCCAGCAGGGUUGCCAGGUUGGACGGGUCUCUACCCAAGUCUGAAGUUGUUUGCUGUCAAAAUUGGAUCUGGUUCUGAAUACCAACAAUGUUUUAAAUCAGUGGAGCCCAGAGUGGGUCCUUGAGGGCUGCAUGUUUUAGUUCUCUCCCUGGUUUAACGCUCAAAUGAUGGCUCAUUAGAGGCCUAAGAAGAACAUUGACAUGCUGAAAAGGUUGUUGGUACAACCAGGGAGAGAACUAAACCAUGCAGGAUGCCGGCCCUCCAGGACCAACUUCGGCCCCCCCGUUUAAAAUUAUCACAAGUUUAUAAAUGCAGUCGAUGACCUAAAGCAUAAAUUGUAUUCUUUAUAUCCGAGUAUUAGAGUCACUCAAAGAAAA